rnacentral:rRNA from 1 species
UGGGGAAUUUUCCGCAAUGGGCGAAAGCCUGACGGAGCAAUGCCGCGUGGAGGUGGAAGGCCUACGGGUCGUCAACUUCUUUUCUCGGAGAAGAAACAAUGACGGUAUCUGAGGAAUAAGCAUCGGCUAUCUCUGUGCCA